GUGAAAUCCCGGGGCUCAACCUCGGAACUGCCUUUGAUACUGGGAAUCUCGCGUCCGGAAGAGGUGAGUGGAAUUCCUAGUGUAGAGGUGAAAUUCGUAGAUAUUAGGAAGAACACCAGUGGCGAAGGCGGCUCGCUGGCCCGGUUCUGACGCUGAGGCGCGAAAGCGUGGGGAGCAAACAGGAUUAGAUACCCUGGUAGUCCACGCCGUAAACGAUGRAUGCUAGCCGUCGGGNAGCUUGAUKMUUGGKGGCCCAGCUWACGCUUUAAGCWUCCCCCCUGGGGRGUACSGGCGCCAGGKUA
rnacentral:rRNA from 1 species